UCUCACGGAUGUUCAAAGAGAGCAGUUUCUGGAGAUAGAAUCUAUUUCUGGUGAAGAUGCUGUGAA
rnacentral:pre_miRNA from 1 species